AGAUGUGAGGGUGACCUGGCUGUGACAUCAGUCACCCCAUUGAUCACCAGAGUUUAUUUGUUUGAUCUGGCUGGCUAGGUGGGUGUCUGAUCUCUUCCUCACCAUUCCACGUGUGUCCCUCCCAAAGCAGCACACUUGGUGGAAGGGGAUGAUCAUCCCAGGUAGAAGGAGUAUACCGAGGUCUCCAGCCUUUGAUCCCGGGUAUACAAUAGCUGCACUCCCCUGCUAGAACCUCCAACAAACUGGAGCAUAGAAUAUGUUGCUGGCGAUUGCUGCUUGUCAUAUAGAUGGAGUACAGUAUUAGGGAGCAUAAAGGCAUUUAAGCGAAUUCAAUUACAGAGAGAAAUUGGUGUAGUUUGUU
rfam:Anolis carolinensis chromosome 5, whole genome shotgun sequence.